rnacentral:rRNA from 1 species
AGAGUUUGAUCCUGGCUCAGGAUGAACGCUGGCGGCGUGCCUAACACAUGCAAGUCGAACGGAAUUUACAUGAAGCCUAGCGAUUGUAAAUUUAGUGGCGGACGGGUGAGUAACGCGUGGGUAACCUGCCUUGUACUGGGGGACAACAGUUGGAAACGACUGCUAAUACCGCAUAAGCGCACAGCUUCGCAUGAAGCAGUGUGAAAAACUCCGGUGGUACAAGAUGGACCCGCGUCUGAUUAGCUGGUUGGUGAGGUAACGGCCCACCAAGGCGACGAUCAGUAGCCGGCCUGAGAGGGUGAACGGCCACAUUGGGACUGAGACACGGCCCAAACUCCUACGGGAGGCAGCAGUGGGGAAUAUUGCACGAUGGGGGAAACCCUGAUGCAGCAACGCCGCGUGAGUGAAGAAGUAUUUCGGUAUGUAAAGCUCUAUCAGCAGGAAAGAAAAUGACGGUACCUGACUAAGAAGCCCCGGCUAACUACGUGCCAGCAGCCGCGGUAAUACGUAGGGGGCAAGCGUUAUCCGGAUUUACUGGGUGUAAAGGGAGCGUAGACGGUUUUGCAAGUCUGAAGUGAAAGCCCGGGGCUUAACCCCGGGACUGCUUUGGAAACUGUAGGACUAGAGUGCAGGAGAGGUAAGUGGAAUUCCUAGUGUAGCGGUGAAAUGCGUAGAUAUUAGGAGGAACACCAGUGGCGAAGGCGGCUUACUGGACUGUAACUGACGUUGAGGCUCGAAAGCGUGGGAGCAAACAGGAUUAGAUACCCUGGUAGUCCACGCCGUAAACGAUGAUUACUAGGUGUUGGUGGGUAUGACCCAUCGGUGCCGCAGCAAACGCAAUAAGUAAUCCACCUGGGGAGUACGUUCGCAAGAAUGAAACUCAAAGGAAUUGACGGGGACCCGCACAAGCGGUGGAGCAUGUGGUUUAAUUCGAAGCAACGCGAAGAACCUUACCUGGUCUUGACAUCCCUAUGAAUAACGGGCAAUGCCGUUAGUACUUCGGUACAUAGGAGACAGGUGGUGCAUGGUUGUCGUCAGCUCGUGUCGUGAGAUGUUGGGUUAAGUCCAGCAACGAGCGCAACCCUUAUCUUUAGUAGCCAGCAGUAAGAUGGGCACUCUAGAGAGACUGCCGGGGAUAACCCGGAGGAAGGUGGGGAUGACGUCAAAUCAUCAUGCCCCUUAUGACCAGGGCUACACACGUGCUACAAUGGCGUAAACAAAGAGAAGCGAAGUCGU